rnacentral:rRNA from 1 species
UACGGAGGGGGCUAGCGUUGUUCGGAAUUACUGGGCGUAAAGCGCACGUAGGCGGCUUUGCAAGUUAGAGGUGAAAGCCCAGGGCUUAACCCUGGAAUUGCCUUUAAAACUGCAUCGCUAGAAUUGUGGAGAGGUAAGUGGAAUUCCGAGUGUAGAGGUGAAAUUCGUAGAUAUUCGGAAGAACACCGGUGGCGAAGGCGGCUCUCUGGACCGAUACUGACGCUGAGGCGCGAAAGCGUGGGGAGCAAACAGG